GGGCUCGAGGAGGCUGUUCAAGCCACAAAGACCCCCUGGAGCUGGCCUCAGCGUGCCAGGGUGCUUCUACUGGAGGGGUGUCGUGGGGGUCGCAGGAAGACAGCUGCGGAGGAAGACAGUCUGCAGCUCUGGGGGCUGAGGGUCAUCGUGGGAGCAGGAACUUCAUACUGGUCCCUUGAAGAUGACCCUGUUCAAAUCCUUGGAGUCUGUCAUCUUGUGUAGCAGAGAGGACUUUACAGAUUUAACCUUCUCACUGCUGGGACAAAAACAUCC